CCCCACUGCUGCCCCGGCGCCCCAGGCCCCAGGCCCGGCUGUCGCACCUGCACCUGCGGGAGGCAGGCCUGGGCACAUCGGGGCCAUGUGGCUUCUGACCAGCUACUCUGGGUACAAGCCGGGCUCGUCCAGGCUCCGUCUCCCAUCACCCUGACCCCAGCCAUCUGCGACUUGAGGGUGGCCAGGCCGGAGGAGGAGGGAGGCCAGGACCAGUGCCCUGUGUCCUUGGCAGAUGGGCCGCAGGGACCGUUGGCUGACCCCGAGAAACCACUAGAGCCCGGCAGGGGCGCCUAUUUCUGUCCUUCCUCCAGGCCUCAUACAGAUGAGGAAAACGAUGCCAAGUGUCUGUUGUCCACUGGGUCAUCUGGCUGCUGGGGCAAAACAGGUAUCUUCCCAGAAAACGGGCUGGAUGGUUUGUGAGAAGAGGCAGGUCAGGGCUGGUGCGCCCAAGACCAUGGGUGACCCCUGCGAGGAGGGGCAUGUGGCCCCCAGGGGUGCAGCGGGCAGGGCCACAGAGCAAAGCCCCACACGCCUCCCUGCGCUACUGCCAUCGGGGCUGGGAAGGAUGCCACCGGAGGUCAGAGGUCAGGUUAGCAGGUCUACAUUCACAGAAAUCCUCGAGGGCUUGUUCGAUGUGGAUCCUGGGUCCACCCCACCACCACCCCCCCCUCCCCUGCCCGGCCUUGUGACCCUGCCUACCCUGGGGUGAAGCACGGGCGAGAGCCCUGCUGUGGCACUUUGGGCGGACUGCUCAGUGCACGGGGCCUGUCACCCUCGGGGGGACCCACAGCCCGUUGCCGUCAUGCACCCAGGGGAACUCUGCCCUGUGGCCCCGGGGUCGCCUAGCCCAACCUCCUCCAGAGGAGACGACCCCGUCCGUGGCCGACCGGCCCAGAGCCGAGGAGCAGCGCAGGUGGACUGAGGACCGUCCAGGGGACCGGGGGCUCCCAGGAGUCCGGCCUUCGCAGGUCUACCCAGCACCAGGGGAACCGUAAGCCCCGUCACUGUUAGGCCUGGGGCCCCAUCAGCUCAUGGCUGCCAGGUUUUCUAAAAUGUACAAAAUGAAGAAGAUCUUAACCCUAAGUGACUAGGACCCACGGACUCCCCAGUAAGGACUGGUUCCAUCGCCCCUCAUGGAAGGGCCGUGGACGGAGCCGGAACCUCUGGGCACCCCCGCUGGGACCCAGCCAGGGGGAAGCAGUCGGAGGUGUGUAGGUCAGGUUUGGUGUCUGUGGGGUUCAUGGGUAACUGUCUCCCUUGGGCAGGGACAGCAGGGGCCUUCAGGGUCUGGGGACAGCGGGCGCAGGCCUGUGGCCCCCCAACCCCUCCAGCCCCCUCCAACCCUCCCAGCCCCCCAGGCCCCAGUCCUCUCCUUCCCCGAUCACCCUCACAGGGACCCCAACCACCUCCGCAUGGGAAGGCAGCGGGCUCCUUCCACCAAGCUGACCCACUGGGGUCUCUCAAGAGCCUCUGGGAAACGUGGGUGGCAUCUUGGGGUCUCGGGCUUAUGCUCUUUGCCACAUCCUAGCAGUUCUGACUGGAUGCUUUUCUACGUCAUCGAAGGACUUUGCUCACAGCUAAUAGCACCGGGUUUCCCGCAGGGGACCCCCAGCAGUGCAGGUUCUGGCCUCAGAGCCCGGCCUUUUCCUCACCCAGCGGCUGGGGGUUCCCAGACACGGGGUGCCACAGACUGCCCCCCCACGCGCUGACUCCCCUCCCUGCCCACAGACAUGGCUCAGGGCCCCAGGCUCAGGCCUCCCCCGCCCAAACUGAAAUAUGCACCGAGGGGGGGACGUGACUUCCCCCCACAUGGGCCCCCGUGUGCAGACUCCCUUGGGGUGGGGUGGGGGCACCAAGCCCGGGGAGAGAGCUGCCCGGUGAGCAAGGCCCAGGGAUUGGGGGCACAAGCCCCGAGGGCGUGGGGGUCCCUGUGUGUGGAUCCAUGCUUGGAGUGUGGCUGGGGAGGGUCAGGCUGCUCCAUCCCCAGGGCAGGAGGGCAGGGGGAUGUGGGGGUACAGGGGGAGCUGCCCAGCCUGGGACUACAGAGGCGGGGCUGGGAGGCCAAUUCCCCGCAGUGGCAACAGGUGACCCGAGGCAGCAACCUGCCCGGGCCCCUGAGGACGCACGGGCUGCCUCCCCUCGGCCCUCCCGUACCAGAUGUGUCGGGGGGACAGUGGUGCCGGGGCCCUGGCCUGUGGAACAGGGUCUCAUCCGCACACCCGCCGUGAGCCCUGUGUCUGCAGACGUGUCCAUGUGGGGGGGCAGGGUGCGGGGGAGGGCAGGCUGGGGCAGGUCCGUUCCUGCCCUGGCUCUGUCGGGGUGACCCCACGUCCCCCAGGCACUCUCCCUCCUAUGCACCGGGCCCUCCCCUCUGGGACACAGGCCCUGAGGGGUGACUGGGUGAUGGGGACAGAGGCAGGCUGUGUGCGGGGGCAGGGGGAGGCUGCAAGCCCCGGGGCCGCCCUCUGGCACCCCCACAGGGACACCCACCGGAGGCCAGGCUCCGUUGCCGCUUCCUCCACAGAUGAAGUGUUUUCUGCGUCUGCCAAACACGCCAGUCGAGGCUGGAAGCUCACGUGGUUAUCCUGCCAACUCGGAACAGCGGCCGAGGCUGCGCGCUGGCACCCUGCACCCUGAGGCCUGGGCGCUCCCACGGCCACGGCCACGUGCUCACAGAGGCCCUGAGUGCGAAUCCGGACGGCGAGCCUGCCCCCGAUGCGCCAGCCCCGCUGUCAGGGUUCGCGCCACGAGGCUCACACAGGGAGGCCUGUCACUGCCUCCACUUGGAGAGGCCAGCGCCCGGCUCGAGGGCCCAUCCUGAGGCGGCACAGGUCGCCGGGCUGCAGGGAGGAUGCUGGGGCGGAGGUGGCCACACGCAGGGCAGAAAGGCCUCUCUCGGGCAGCGGGCCACACCUGCCACAGCGGCUGGCCUCCUGCCGCGCCCGCGAGUGGCUGGCGACCCGCUUCGCCUCUCUCCAGGGCCCGGUGCGGUCCCUGCCCAGCACACCUGGGAUGGAGGGACCCGCCCUGGGGCCGCCCUUGCAGACAUUGGGAUCUGCUUGAGCCACAGGGUGUCUCGGAGCUGGUGGGUGCCGGGUGCCCCAGGGAUCCUGCGGUGACGGGACCCCCCUACCCGCCUCUAACACCCCACAGGCCCUUGCAGGCAAAGACUGCCCGGCUCUGCUUCCCUCGAGGUCUCGGGGGACCGUUUCUGUGACCAUCACCCCACUCUGCAGGUGGGGCGUCUCCCACGUCAGGAUCCCCACACGGACUUGUCCUGAGUCAGGAUCGAACACCGCGUCCCCGUCACGCUCACGGGGCUGCACACACACUCGUGGCUGUCUGUCCUCGAGGAGCCAGUCCAUCUGCCCCCUCCCGGUCACCGCCAGGCCCCGCCGUCUGUGGAGCCUGCCCCCCGCGGGGUGGGCAACCCGGUCAGCUCAGCACGGGCCCCGUUGGCAGGCUGCCUGGGCGUCCAGCCCCAUCCCUGCCACACGAGCCCACGGCCGGGUGGACACUGGGCUCCCGGCAGGUGUGGGAAGGAACAGAAAGGCCAGCGAGUAGCCGAGGCCCUGGACGUGCUGCCCGCCCCCGUGCUGGGGAGACCGAGGCAGGCGCGGGUCCAUGCACCUCCCUCUUCACGGCACCGCACCUCAUCCCUGGAGCGGGCUUGCGGGCUUUGUGCUAAUUAUGAGAAAAUACAUUAUGACAUUAUGUUCAGUCUCUCGUAAGACAGGCUGAGGUCUGAACAGAGCUUCCCCACACUUGGGCCACUUGGGCCGCGGAAACACGGACCGGGACCUGCGUCUGAGCGUCACCUCCGAGCCGCGCGGCCGGCACACAGCCAGGGCUCGGUGGCCCGUGGCCCGCAGGUUCAGGGGCUUGGUGGCCCGUGAUGCCCCGGCUGGGGCCCGUCACCGAACGGCUCCAACCAGACGACCGCGACACUCGGGCUUCUCAGCGGGCGGCCCAUGGUCAAGGAGGGUGUUCGCCGUACGUCCAAGUUCCCGGGGCCCCUGGGUCCCACGCCCCCCAUGGCCCCACCAUGUGUCACGCGUCACGACCAGCUCUGGGACGUCGGCCCGGGACAGCGGGUCAUGAUGAGGAGGAAUCAUGACCAAGAACAUCUGCUCUUCGGGGUAUGUGUGCACACUCGGCAUCUUGCAGGCGGGAACCGGGCCUAACGGGCUAAGGAAUCUGUCGGGUCACCGGCCGCCAGGAGAGCCCCAGGCUGUGGUUCCGGAAUGUGGGCGCCGACCCCAGAGCCUCGUCUGGUCUUCUCACCUCCUCACCUCCCCUGCCGGCCACACACAGCGCAGCUCCUCUGCUCAGCCAAGAGCGCCCACCCCGGGGGCGUCAGCCCCCAAGUCCCCGUCCCCCAGGGGCUCCUCGGCCGCGCCUGCUUCUCCCGAGGAGUCUCCUGCUCCUGGGUGGCGGGUCAGCGCGUCACUGUUUCCUUGGAAGACAACAGGUUUAUGAAGUUGAACAUAAAUGAGCUUAUCGCAGGGCACCUACGUGGUCAAGCAACGACAGGGCGCGGAGCCCGUUAGCACAUGCGACCCGACCACCAUCCUCCUUCACCUGGGUUUUCGGGGGGCCGGACUGCCUCCACUCGCUUGGCCUCGCUGGACUUGCCUUGCCCGGGCCCCAAACCCCAGACACCGCAGCGUUUCUGCCACAUGCUUCCGGCAGGGGGAUACGCACAGCAUCACCAGGAGCUUUGCGUCGCCUCCUUUGAAAUAAGAAGCAACCGCAGGUGAAGAGAAUCCCAAGAAAAACCCCACAUCGCUAAGCUGCUGUGGAGCCCGCGGGGAGUCGGGGCGCCGGUGGCCGGGGUGAGGGCCUGGGUGCGGGCCACAGUGGGGCGGAGCCUGUCCCGGUGGUGCGGGCGGGGCCCUGCCCUGCAGGGUGGGGGAGAGCCCCCGGGGCCCAGCCGCUGCCUAUAAGACCACAGGGAGGCCCAAGCGGCGUGGAGGGGAGAGAGACGGAGAGCUGAGGAGGGACGGGAAGGCCAGCAGCGCCGGCAUGAAGGUCACGGCAGGGGCCCGGCCACGCUCCGCAGGGCCUGAGGCGCCAGAGCCCUCGUAGCAGCAGAGGGAUAAGGUGAGCCCUGGACCAGCCCCGCCUCAUCCUGUGCAAAGUCUGUCUGCAGUGAGGAAGAGGAGAUGCCACGUAGAAAGCCCUAGAACAUUCCACCCGUGGCUGUCCUCAGGACGGGCUGCAGCCUAAUCCCCCCAUCCUGUCCCCGUGGGCAACUCAGCCUGGGUUUCUGGCACCUGCAAACGGCGUGUGGCACGAGCAAGAGGACAGGGCCUAGGGAGCCCAGCACGCCGCCGUGUGCCCACGUGGGCUCGGCAGCGUCCCCCCAGCCCAGACACCCAUGACGUGCCCAACAGGGUGGGACACAGGACAUGGAGGCUGCCCUGCCGGGAGCCGAGGACCAACCUGGAGGGCUCGCCAGGCCGCUGCAAACAAGCCAGCCUGGUGCAGGGUAACAGGAGAAAACACGCUGGACACACUGUGGGAGGGACCACAGUGACCUGGGGAGCCAGGAGGUCCCCAGGGAGGUAUGGCCAGGAGGAGCGAGCCCCCCACGGGAGUGAGUGCGCCCCGGGGCAGGGGACAGCGGGCGUGACACGAACUGGGGGUCCUGUGGUCUGGGGCCUCCCAGGGGUGGGGGGCUCACGUUACCCAGAACGUCCUGGAGAAAGUGGGUGAGCUGGCUGUUGCGGUACGGGAUGUGGCCUCUGCGCUCCGACAGGGCCCCCAGGACAUCCGCGAGGGCCGCCAGGCUCCGGUUUAUGAACGAAGUCUCCCUGAGGGCCGAUCCUGUCACGCCGGACACACCUAGGAACGCGCGAAAACCCAGCCACAUGGUGAGGAUGUGCAAUGAAUAUUCUGGCUACAUCAAGGAAUGAACCAGGAAAAGCAAAACUGGUGCUCCUCAGGAGAGGAGCACGGGAUGGGGAGACCCUCCAUCCCAUCAGCGUCCUCCUCCCACACCCUGCAUGGCCUCGCCUGGGGACGGGCUGGCCCGCAGCCGAGCCAUGGAGAAGGGCACCACAUUGGGAUGCACGCGUCUGGUGGCCGUGGGGAGACAGCUGCCCCCGAGGAGGAGCAGGUGCAAGAUGACUGGACCCUGGGCAGCUGGCUCACGCACCCCCACAUCCCCACGCACCCCAGAGAGAGCCCCUGCUCUGGGCUCACCUGCACACUCGCUACCCGCCAGGUCCACGAGCUGCAGCUUGGCAUGCACCUGCUCCUUGGGCUGCUGGGCCCCCGGGGACCCGGCCGGGGCUCUGCCGCAGGAGGCGCCCCCCCUGCUCCCUGAGGCCGGCCGCCCCUCCAGCGGUGGUCGCUCUGCCUGCUGGUCAGCUGCAAGGGGAUGACACACACCCGGGAAUGACGUCCAGGAUGCCUCCCUCAGCUUCCCACGGCUGAAGGACCGGACCGGCCCUCACCCCAAGGGCCCACGCACCAGAGGGUGCUUGCUCUGACCCACAGACCCACAGCCAGGGCAGGGCCGCCCGCAGGAGGGGGACGGGCGGAGGGCAGCACACUGCCCUCGAAGGUGAGGUUGAUGCCCACUUGGUCCCCAGGACGCUGAAGGAUGUUCCCAGACACGUUCAGUAAUGACGGGAACCUGACGGGCCCUUACGGAGGUCAUUCCACAGUGUGUUUCUGAGCCCCCGAGCCCCCCAAGGAAACCCUGACAGAAAGCUUCUUCAUCCCGCGUGUGCAUCAAUGUCAUCGUGCAUUCUUCCCAAAAAGACUUCUUAAGGAGAUUAUUUUAAACCUAAACGGUAUAUACUCAUUGUGGAAAGCAUAAAAAUUUACCAAAAUAAAAAGAACAUAGAAACCGC